UCCUGGUGGCUCAGAUGGUAAAGAAUCUGCCUGCAAUGCAGGAGACCUGGGUUCAAUUCCUGGGUCGGGAA
rnacentral:tRNA from 1 species